AUUGAACGCUGGCGGCAGGCCUAACACAUGCAAGUCGAACGAGUGGCGGACGGGUGAGUAAUGUCUGGGAAACUGUCUGAUGGAGGGGGAUAACUACUGGAAACGGUAGCUAAUACCGCAUACCAUCAGAUGUGCCCAGAUGGGAUUAGCUAGUUGGUGGGGUAACGGCUCACCAAGGCGACGAUCCCUAGCUGGUCUGAGAGGAUGACCCGCCACCCUGGAACGUAGACACGGGCCAGACGCCUACGGGAGGAAGCAGUGGGGAAUAUUGGACAAUGGGCGCAAGCCUGAUGCAGCCAUGCCGCGUGGAGGAAGAAGGCCUGCGGGUUGUAAAGUACUUUCAGCGGGGAGGCGUUACCCGCAGAAGAAGCACCGGCUAACUCCGUGCCAGCAGCCGCGGUAAUAC
rnacentral:rRNA from 1 species